AUUGAACGCUGGCGGCAUGCCUUACACAUGCAAGUCGAACGGUAACGGGCCUUCGGGUGCCGACGAGUGGCGAACGGGUGAGUAAUGCAUCGGAACGUACCUUUCAGUGGGGGAUAACGUAGCGAAAGUUACGCUAAUACCGCAUAUUCUGUGAGCAGGAAAGCAGGGGAUAGCAAGACCUUGCGCUGAUUGAGCGGCCGAUGUCAGAUUAGCUAGUUGGUGAGUUAAAGGCUCACCAAGGCGACGAUCUGUAGCGGGUUUGAGAGGAUGAUCCGCCACACUGGAACUGAGACACGGUCCAGACUCCUACGGGAGGCAGCAGUGGGGAAUUUUGGACAAUGGGGGCAACCCUGAUCCAGCCAUGCCGCGUGAGUGAAGAAGGCCUUCGGGUUGUAAAGCUCUUUCGGCCGGGAAGAAAUCGUAUGGGCUAAUACCCUGUGCGGAUGACGGUACCGGCAUAAGAAGCACCGGCUAACUACGUGCCAGCAGCCGCAGUAAGAC
rnacentral:rRNA from 1 species